AGAAAAAUAUAUAUAGUAGUGUGGUCCUCUCCAUAUAUAUAUAUAUCUUGAAGAAAAUUUCAAUGGAAAUCAGUUGGUCCCUCACACCCCAUGGCAACAUCAGAGUGACGUUACUCUCACUCUAGAAACUCCAAAAAUAUAAUCCAAUUUGAGAGAAGAAUUCAUGGUCCCAUAGAUUGGAAAUGCACCGGCUUCUUAGCUCGAUUAAGAAGGCAAAAUUUUGUCUUGGUUUGAGACUUGGAUACUAUGCAAGUCCAAAGCUUUGACAGCUACUUAGCUAAGCUUAACCACAAUUAAUUCAUGAGACCAAAACCAUGAGAGAAGAAUUUGACUAACACAUUCCGAUGCCGGUGUACACGUGGCGCCACGACAACCAUUCUUUCCUUUCUCUUGGAGCAAUAUGGUCAAUGCAAUCCAAUACCAGCAUCUUCACUUCCCAAUUCCCUUCUCCUUUUCAUUUCACAUCUUUGUAUAAGUAUAUAUCAUCUCUAUAUGCUAGCUAGGGAAUUUAGUUAGGCAUAUGUAUCUUGAGAGGAUUUCUGAGCUAGUCAAGAAAUUAAGGCAUCUUGAUGAUAUGGCUUCAGACAAGGUGGAGUAAUUAAUUAAAUUGUGAAUUAUUUAUCAAGUUUUGGGAUGAAUUGAGUGAGAAAUAUCCAAUCAAGAGGUGUGGAGGAAACCAAUUAUGAGUGACAUAAGAUGAUUUCAAGAGAAAUAGCAAAGCAAGAGAGUAGCAGCACAACUGACAAUAACAACAACAGCAACAACAACAACAACGACAACAGCAGCAACAACAUCAGCAGCUUGAAGGCAGCCACGACAUCGUGGUCGAGGCUGAAGGACCCCCGGAUAGUACGCGUGUCGAGGGCCUUCGGGGGAAAGGACCGGCACAGCAAGGUGUGCACGGUGAGGGGCCUGAGGGACAGACGCGUGCGGCUGUCCGUCCCCACGGCCAUCCAGCUCUACGACCUCCAAGACCGCCUCGGCCUCAACCAGCCGAGCAAGGUCGUCGACUGGCUCCUCAACGCCGCCAAGGCCGAGAUCGAUGAGCUGCCGCCGCUGCAAUUCCCUCACCCCACCAUGCUCGACAACCUCAACAAUCAAUUAGACCUCAAAUCCAAGGAUCAUCAAGAUCAUCAUCAUUCAUAUCUUAACCAAAACCAAAACCAAAACCAAAACCAAAACCAAAACCCCUCUUCUUCUACUACUUCAAAUAUCCCAUUCAAUUCAUCGUUUGUGAGAUGGGAUCCUUCAACCCUAACCCUCUCUCACCCCCCGCGAAGCCCUAACUGCUCGUCGUCGCCACAUCAGCAGCCGGCCGCCGAGGAUUGGCACAAUUUCAGCCUGGUGCAGCCUCACCACCACCACCACCACCAGGUGCUCGUGUACCAACCUGCAGCUGCAAUGGCGGCACAGCCUUAUUUCCAGUCACAAAUCUCUGCAUCCAACGCAGAUUUCUCACCAAGUGUUGAGGCCUCCACCCAUUUCAACAUCAUCACCGCCAAUCUCCUCCCUUCGCAAAACAACGACGGCAGCAGAUGAUCAAACUACUAUGAUUUCAUGUCGAUGCCAUCAACUCCAAACUUAACACACUGAUGAGGCAGCAACGCAAUCAUUCUGCAAGACGUUGUAGUCCGACAUUGAGGUGGUUGAAUUCAGAGAGCAGAAGAACAAGGAGACGCGAAGGGAUAGAUCGGUGUCGGAGACACGAAGAGACUCGUUCUUGCGGCGGAGCGCAUCAACCUUCUCGAUAGAAUCAGAAUCACGAAGUCAUGAUAAGCAAAUUUUGUGUAGCGCAAUUAAAGAGCUACGGGUACUCGACGAUGUUGCUCGAAUCAUGGAAGUUGCGCUCGGCAUCGCCGCCUGCGCCGUCGAAAAAUGCGACGUCGGUGGUGUACAUAAUGGCGGCAGUGGUCUCGCAUGAAAUUGUAUAAAGGAGAUGAAUUUACUAACGACUCAUGUUUCAUAGGACGUCUUAGAAAAGAAUACGACGUCCUCAUGUUUCAUGGGAUGGAGGGAGUACUAUAUUUAGUCUUCGCCGAAACUAAUAGAUUAUUUAUGUAUUAUUGAUUUAAAGAUUA